rnacentral:rRNA from 1 species
AGUGGACGCUGGCGGUAGGCCUAACACAUGCAAGUCGAACGGCAGCACAGUAAGAGCUUGCUCUUACGGGUGGCGAGUGGCGGACGGGUGAGGAAUACAUCGGAAUCUACUUUUUCGUGGGGGAUAACGUAGGGAAACUUACGCUAAUACCGCAUACGACCUACGGGUGAAAGCAGGGGAUCUUCGGACCUUGCGCGAUUGAAUGAACCGAUGUCGGAUUAGCUAGUUGGCGGGGUAAAGGCCCACCAAGGCGACGAUCCGUAGCUGGUCUGAGAGGAUGAUCAGCCACACUGGAACUGAGACACGGUCCAGACUCCUACGGGAGGCAGCAGUGGGGAAUAUUGGACAAUGGGCGCAAGCCUGAUCCAGCCAUACCGCGUGGGUGAAGAAGGCCUUCGGGUUGUAAAGCCCUUUUGUUGGGAAAGAAAAGCAGCAGGUUAAUACCCCGCUGUUCUGACGGUACCCAAAGAAUAAGCACCGGCUAACUUCGUG